rnacentral:lncRNA from 1 species
AUGUUGGCAGGAGGUAGGCUGCACUGCAUCCAAAUGAGCAGGGCCUCACCAUGGAAGGCCUGAAGGGGAAACAUAAACUAUUCCAAUGGAAGCUGCAGAGCAGGCUUGAGCUUUAGAACUGAGAAGAGGAAGAACCACUCUGUGGUCAGCCCCAGCCUGAAGGGAAGUUAUAACAUCCAGCUUCCUUCUGUUCCAGACAGGUACAGAUGGAGGCAGUAGCAUAGUAAAACAUCAAAAUCAAGCAUCCAGCAUCUGAAUCCAAACAACACAAAGAACAAGGUCAUGAACUUCACACAAUUAUCAUAGAGGACAAGUGUUAUGGAGAGGAGGAAAUCAAGAAUAUUCCGUCUUUCCCCCUUCCUCACUCAAUAACGAAUCACUCUUAUAGCCUUUGUCAACAUAAAGUACAGGGCUCCAAAAAUGUAACUGUCUAGACUGAAGACUGGUUUAUUUAAAAACUUUUAUUGCUGUGGAAUUACUGGCAUGAUUAUUCAAUAAACUCUGGAUUCUUUAACAAAUAAGACUAUUAAAGAUUUUAAAUUGUACUAACUCAGUUUGCAGUUGCUAAAAUAGUCAUAAAAAUUUUAGUAGUACUCAUUUCAUAUUGCAGCUUUUGAAAAAAUGAAGUCUACCAAGU